GGCCUUUUAGCUCAGCUGGUAGAGAGUGUGCUGUACAAAAGCGUAGGUGGCGUUCAUGCGUGGGAUCGAAUCCCACCGAGGCUU
rnacentral:tRNA from 1 species